UACGUAGGGAGCAAGCGUUGUCCGGAAUCAUUGGGCGUAAAGCGCGCGUAGGUGGCCUCAUAAGUCCGUUGCGAAAGUCAAAGGCUCAACCUUUGAAAGCCGAUGGAUACUGUGAGACUAGAGUACGGAAGAGGCGAGUGGAAUUCCUGGUGUAGCGGUGGAAUGCGCAGAUAUCAGGAGGAACACCAAUAGCGAAGGCAGCUCGCUGGGACGUUACUGACACUGAGGCGCGAAAGCGUGGGGAGCGAACAGG
rnacentral:rRNA from 1 species